GAGCACCGCCCCCUAGAGUCGGGAAUGACCAGCACAUAUGUGCGAGGGAAACCUUUACCUUUUAAAAGAAGAAGAUUAAAGCUUUAGGAGGUUUCCUGCAGGUUUCUAGCCAUUUCUCCACUGGAUGAGAAGUUAAAAAGCAAAGCAAAACUUUCUAAACCUUAUUAUCUUCUGUGUUCACAUUGGACAUGUUUACUUCCUCAACAGACGUUGAAUCUUUCACAGCAAAAGGAUCGGUCGGUUGCCAUACAGAUUCCACCUAGAUCUGACAUUAAUUAUGGGUAUCAUGGUCCUUUGGGGAAAAGCUUUUUAUUUUGGCGUAGUAAUAAAAACUCAGGACCUAGAGGGGCAAUCCCUGCCUCCAGGAAAAAAGCCACCUUGCAAUGGAUGGAGAUGAAAUAGUAGGCGGAGAUCUGGGGAAAAAAGCAAACAAAAAACAAAAGAGAAAGGCGGCGACAAGGACUUUGCAAACUCCCGAUCCUCUGGAAGCCACGGAAACAAGCCCACUUCUGCAGGAGGACCCAACAAUCACAGCUCAUGAUAGCAGUAAUACCUGAUAUUACUGAUAUUACUACUAGCCUCAGCUCCUCCUUGCGAAGGAUAUCUCAAGAUCUUUCUUCAUCGAGCCUGCUUACUCGCAGAGGGGAGGGGAACGAAAGGGAACCGAUGGGGAGUGAAAGGGAACUGAUGACUUACAAGACUGUGUGGCCUAUGAGAAGGCAUCGGGGACCCCCUUCCCCAAGCAGACAGCUUACUCCAGGUUGUCUUUUUCUCAUGCCAAGAGUUGAAGGACCUCAAUGGCAACAUUGGAGUUGGAGGACUGAUGGAGAAGCCUUGAAGUGGCCAAACAAAGACUGCAAACCCCCCUCCUCCCCCCUUUGCUGGAUCAUUUCCAGCUUCUCCUCCCCAGAAAGUCCUUUGAUCCUUCUUAAAGGGGAAUCACCCACCCUCGUCAGCCUUACCGUAUAAAACAGACAGCACCACACAACCACAC